UAAAAGUGAAAGUUGAGAUGAUAAUUGUGAAUAGACCCGGGGGGCAUAGUGUUCACUAGUGGCUUCUCUCAUGAAAGCAAGUAGACGGUGGGUGAACGAAUUAAUGUCGAGCCAUUGAUAGAACCGUGCAAAGUCAUGACGUUAUCUAUGGCAAUGAUCAUACAUAUAGGCAUCAGUCCAAAACAAGUAGACCGAUACUUCCAUCAUCUACUACUAUUACUC
rnacentral:lncRNA from 1 species